GCCUAACACAUGCAAGUCGAACGGUAACAGGAAGCAGCUUGCUGCUUCGCUGACGAGUGGCGGACGGGUGAGUAAUGUCUGGGAAACUGCCUGAUGGAGGGGGAUAACUACUGGAAACGGUAGCUAAUACCGCAUAACGUCGCAAGACCAAAGAGGGGGACCUUCGGGCCUCUUGCCAUCGGAUGUGCCCAGAUGGGAUUAGCUAGUAGGUGGGGUAACGGCUCACCUAGGCGACGAUCCCUAGCUGGUCUGAGAGGAUGACCAGCCACACUGGAACUGAGACACGGUCCAGACUCCUACGGGAGGCAGCAGUGGGGAAUAUUGCACAAUGGGCGCAAGCCUGAUGCAGCCAUGCCGCGUGUAUGAAGAAGGCCUUCGGGUUGUAAAGUACUUUCAGCGGGGAGGAAGGGAGUAAAGUUAAUACCUUUGCUCAUUGACGUUACCCGCAGAAGAAGCACCGGCUAACUCCGUGCCAGCAGCCGCGGUAAUACGGAGGGUGCAAGCGUUAAUCGGAAUUACUGGGCGUAAAGCGCACGCAGGCGGUUUGUUAAGUCAGAUGUGAAAUCCCCGGGCUCAACCUGGGAACUGCAUCUGAUACUGGCAAGCUUGAGUCUCGUAGAGGGGGGUAGAAUUCCAGGUGUAGCGGUGAAAUGCGUAGAGAUCUGGAGGAAUACCGGUGGCGAAGGCGGCCCCCUGGACGAAGACUGACGCUCAGGUGCGAAGCGUGGGG
rnacentral:rRNA from 1 species